rfam:Myotis brandtii contig170141, whole genome shotgun sequence.
GAGACACCCUUAUGGGGCAGGACUUGUUUCAGUGGGGCUUUGGUGCUCACUGAGUCUGCCCCUUGAGUGUGUCGCU